GAUAUAAUUAUUGUGCUUUAAUCUCCAUCAUAAGAAAAGAUAUAUUUUAUUAGCAAGCAUGGAAAGGUUUAAGUAAAUCAAUAGGGUUCUACAAGCAGACUACACGGUAUUUAAGAAUAUGAGCAUUUUUUGUACAAAGAUGGAAUUAUACAUUCUAAUAAAUUAAAUUAAAAAAAACGGUACAUUAAAGUAGCUCUCUUUGUUCCUCUCAAAAGGUGGAGAAUUUGAGUUGUUACAUUCAGUAGUUAGAAAGACCAAAUUCAUCUUCAUAAUUACACAUAUGAGAAGUCAUUUCUGAUACUAAAUAAAUACAACAUUGAAUUUUCUAUGAUUUCACUCUUCAACUCAAAUUUGGUCCAUGGAUUUUGCACUACGUUUACAUACAUAACUCAAAUUAAUUAACUCCGUUUGUGGAAGCUCAAGAUAAAUUGGGGUUUGGGCUUCUUUGCUCUAACUUUGUUGCAUCAAGAUUUACAUAGAUGCUCAACCUUCUGAAAUGAGAGACGAACAACAGAACAAGGAAAAAGGGAGAAUGGUUGAUCUGUGGUUACCGCCAAUAUACGCCUGAUACGUUGUACUCUACAUUUACUUUGCAUUACUCUAAAUAGGUACAACUGUUAUUUGUUUUUCAUAUUUCAUGGAUUUGUGUUUUUCAUUGUGGGGAUGUUUCAUUUUUUUACAAUUCUAUUUAUUAAUGAGAAAAAACAUACAUAUCUCACAGUAGAGUUUAAGAUUGCUUUAGAUGUAGGGGACAAUUUUAAGAUUUUCAAGUAGUCCAAAUUGAUGUAGAUAUAGUGGAGACAAUUUCAAGAUUUUCAGGUAAUCCAAAGAUACCUCAAAUCCUUACAAAUUGCCUAUUCUUAAAGAUUGGUAUUUUAAUAUUUGAAAAAGCAAUAUCAUUUGCAUUGCCUUCCUCAGCUCUUCAGGUCUACAAGUCCCAAGCUUUGUUUUAGGGGAAAGGAUCACUUAAACUAUAUAUCCUGCUGGUUUAUAGUGGAAGCAUCUAAAAUGUCAAGUGCUGUAUCUUGUGCAGAUUCCAGUAGCAUCACAAAUCCAUUUACUAUGUCUUCAGUUGAAAAAAAUCUUAAUAUGAAGUGCAUAAAGCAAAACAGAUGCCAUUUCCUUUCCUUGUUUUUCCUUGCUAGGGCCGUAAUAGAUGAUGUCCUUGUUCCACUGAAUUUAGAAGAGUGUUCGCCAACAGGCUGCCACCAAAUUGCAGCAGUGGAUUGGAGACCGUCUGUAUGGCUCGAUCACUUCUAUUUGCACAGCAUGCUGGAGAAAGGAUCCUAAGGUGUUGGGGUGGUGGGACUGGAUGGCUGUGGAGGAUGCUAAGGAUAAGAUACAAAAGCUCCUUGAGGAAUUUGAAAGUAGUGGUGUUCUCAGUGAAGCUUGCCAGUGCAUACGAGAUCGGAAUGCCAUUCUUCAAUCAUGAGGUAGUGAAGAAAGCUUUGGUUAUGGCAAUCGAGAAGAAGAAUGAGAGGAUACUGGAUUUGCUGCAAGUGUGCGGCUUAUCACCAUCAACCAGAUGACUAAAGGCUUUCGGAGGAUCAAGGAUGGGCUUGAUGAUCUGGCUCUUGACAUUCCGAAUGCAAAGGAUAAAUUCACGUUUUAUGUGGAGCAUGCUAAAGAAAGAAGCUGGUUGUUACUGUCCUUUGGGUUAUCUGAUGAUGCAUCUUAAAUGAGAAGAUCAUAUACAUUAGCUUGUUACAUCUCUGUUUGUUGUUCGUUGAUGCUUUCUCUAAGUAGCUGGUGCCGUUUUGUUGGGACUGGUGGAUAGACACGGACUGUCCAGUCCUUCCUAAUAACUCUUUCUUUUAAGUUUCUUGUAUGAUGGAUAUUUGUUGAUGUAAAAAUUAGCCCUCGCUUGUUAAAUCUAAUGUAGUGGUAAACGCAUACUGCAUUACCCUUAUUGUCUUUCAUAAGGGUGUUAGUACAGAUUAUUAAAAAUAAUCCUGCAUUUCCUGAAGUUUAAUCAUUUUUUGGUCAAUUCUACAUUAUUUACUUGGCACA